rnacentral:lncRNA from 1 species
CUGAAAUUGAAUGCAAUUUGAAGAAGCAUAUAUAUUUGUGAUAAUUGUCUUCAAUAUUUGAGGCAUGGAAGCAACAAUAGUUCAAACACUUUGUGUGCGUUUUCCAUUCACUUUCAGAUUCGAAUUUAGACCUUACCUUCGCACCAUUUCUCAUCCAGUUUCUUCUUCUUCUUCUUCUUCUUCUCUACUUUCUCCACUCACUAUUCUUCACUCUAAACCUUCUUCUUCGCGUUCGCGUUUCUCUGCAUUAUGUUCUUUAUCCCCACACCACAGCCACAACCACGAGUCUUCUCAUCAACUCGCUAUCCUUCUCGAAGUCGAAGGGGUUCUCUUUGAUGCAUAUCGUCUUGGAAAUCGUCAAUCCUUCAAUAAAGGUAUCGCCAAUUCAAGUUGAUUGCUUCAUAUGUCUAUGUCUGUAAUUGUAAUAUAUUGUGUGCCUUGCAGCAUUUGAGAAGCUUGGCCUUGAUUGUGCAAAUUGGACUGAACCUAUCUAUACAGAUCUUUUGAGGAAAAGUGCUGGAGAUGAGGAAAAGAUGGUAUAUUUGUAUUUUAAC